GCCUUUCUAGCCAUCCCUUUAAUAUUAUCCCAUGUUAACCCCGUUUGAGCAUGUACCCUUUGUUUGUUUAUAUAACCACAUGAAUGUAACCCGCGACCCAAACACUUCCUUACCCUGUUCAGAGUCAAUUUUAUGUCUUUAGGUUGUGUUAAAUUCUAAUUUUAGGGUAACCCCAUAAGUAUCUAAAAGUAAGGUGAGUGCAGAAAAAAAAUUAAGAAAAACGACCAUCGAAACAAAAAAGAAAAAAAAAAGAAAAAAAAAUUCUUCGAAGGUACGAGAAAAGCACUCGCCGAAUGAGAAACACUCAGUUGAAAAAAAAAAGAGAAGAGAAAAUCAAAGAAAAAAAGAGAACUGAGCAAUACAAACUGAAAAAGAAAAUAAUUAGAAAUGAGAUGUACAACAAACACAGUGAAAAGAAUAAUGACAUUGACUUUGAACUCAAACCACUUGUUUUCUCUUUUGUUUGUAUUUACCCCACC
rnacentral:lncRNA from 1 species